AAAUGAUCCAUCAAUAAAGGAUAAUGUUGGAUCAGUGUUUCAAUAUUUUAUAUCUUUUAUUAGAUGUUCAUGUGGUUUGGUUAUUUGCCUUUUGGUUGAAAGUACACUGAGAGAGGACUUUUCGUUAGUGAUCUUAAUAAUUUUUUUUUUCACAUGAAUGUAAUUUUUUCAUCUAAUUGAAUACAAUCUAUUUGUGUAUGAUUGUCAGUCCAAAGAGGGAGAGAGGAAAGAGGGGAACGUGAGGAGAAAGUACAAGGUCAGGAAGAACCAGAUCACCAUUGUGAUGAACCAGAAUGAACCCCUCAGUUUCUUGCACCGUCACAAUGAGGCUUUUUCCACCGAGCCUCUGAAAAACACUGGCAAAGGAGCUCCUCUGGGCUUUUACCACGUCCAGAAUAUUUCUGUCGAAGUUACAGAGUCUUUUAUUGAGAACAUCAAGAGCAAGCCCGUCGUGUUUGAAGUGUUCAGCCACUACCAGCAGCACCCGCUGCACCUCCAUGGCCAGGACGUGAACAGCAUCCAGGAAAUACUAUCCUAUUCCCAUCCGUUGCUUAGAAACUGUCCUGAGGAGACAGCUUCAGGAUCAAUGACAUGUCAUUCACACCAAUGAAGACUUCCAGCCACCAAGUUGAACACCAUCACCAAAUCCAACCUGGGUCAGUGUGUCAGCAAGUACGACCUGCUGGUCUGGUUUGAGAUCAGCGAGUUGGAGCCCACUGGAGAGUGCAUCCCAGCCAUCGUGGAUCACAGUGGAGGCCUGCCCUGCCAUGGUACCUACCUGCUGCACCAGAUCUGUUGUGUCCAAGAAGGGUUUUCUAAGCUUCGUGGAGCCUCGCUCUAACUCAUAGGUGAAGCAUUUUGUGGUUGUUCGCCGGCCCUACGUCUUCAUCUACAACAGCGACAAGGACCCCGUGGAGCGAGGCGCCGUCAACCUCUCCACAGCACAGGUGGAAUACAGCAAAGACCAGCAGGCCAUGCUUAAGAUGCCCAACACAUUUGCAGUGUACACAAAACAUCGAGGCAUCCUCCUGCAGGCCAACAACGAGAAAGACAUGAACGAAUGGCUGUACGCUUUUAGUCCUCUGCUAGCAGGAAGGAUAAGGUACACACACACGCUCCUCUCACACCACAGUCAAAC